rnacentral:rRNA from 1 species
AACGCGAAGAACCUUACCUACCCUUGACAUCCUGCGAAUUCUGAUGAGAGUUGGGAGUGCCGAAAGGAACGCAGAGACAGGUGCUGCAUGGCUGUCGUCAGCUCGUGUUGUGAGAUGUUGGGUUAAGUCCCGUAACGAGCGCAACCCUUGUUCUUAGUUGCCAGCAAGUAAAGUUGGGGACUCUAAGAAGACUGCCGGUGAUGAACCGGAGGAAGGCGGGGACGACGUCAAGUCAUCAUGGCCUUUAUGGGUAGGGCUACACACGUGCUACAAUGGGGCGUACAGAGGGUAGCCAACCAGCGAUGGGGAGCCAAUCUCUUAAAGCGUCUCGUAGUCCGGAUUGGAGUCUGCAACUCGACUCCAUGAAGUUGGAAUCGCUAGUAAUCGCGAAUCAGCAUUGUCGCGGUGAAUACGUUCCCGGGCCUUGUACACACCGGUACUA